GAGUUUCAAAAAUACCAUUAGAUGUUGAUCUUCAUUUCUUGAAGUACCACUAGAAAUCUAGAAUGUGGAAGAAAUUGUUGGUGUAAUUGUGAAAUUAUUUCUCUUCUUGGAUUUAUUUUUCAUUGUGCAUUAAAGAUAUGGCAUCCACUGCUGAUAGAUGCAAAUCAAGCUUUGUGAUGAUCAAGGCUUGAGACUCCCAAUACAAAUUGAA
rnacentral:misc_RNA from 1 species